UACGGAGGGUGCGAGCGUUGUCCGGAAUCACUGGGCGUAAAGGGCGCGUAGGCGGCCUGAUAAGUAGGGGGUGAAAUCCUGCGGCUUAACCGCAGGGCUGCCUUCUAAACUGUCAGGCUUGAGCACAGUAGAGGCAGGUGGAAUUCCCGGUGUAGCGGUGGAAUGCGUAGAGAUCGGGAAGAACAUCAGUGGCGAAGGCGGCCUGCUGGGCUGUUGCUGACGCUGAGGCGCGACAGCGGUGGGGAGCAAACAGG
rnacentral:rRNA from 1 species